rnacentral:tRNA from 1 species
CACUAGGAAGCUAAACCGGGAAUCAGCGUCAGCCUUUUAAGCUGAAGAAUGGUGGCUCCCACCCACCUCUAGUGA